rnacentral:rRNA from 1 species
CACGUAGGGCGCGAGCGUUGUCCGGAAUUAUUGGGCGUAAAGAGCUCGUAGGCGGCCUGUUGCGUCCGCUGUGAAAGCCCGGGGCUUAACCCCGGGUCGGCAGUGGAUACGGGCAGGCUAGAGGUAGGUAGGGGAGAAUGGAAUUCCCGGUGUAGCGGUGAAAUGCGCAGAUAUCAGGAGGAACACCGGUGGCGAAGGCGGUUCUCUGGGCCUGUACUGACGCUGAGGAGCGAAAGCGUGGGGAGCGAACAGG